rnacentral:lncRNA from 1 species
AACUAUUAUUAUGAAUCAAUUACUCCAAAAGUUCAAGUUAUUAGGCAAAGAUGCUGAAUAGACUUUAUACUAUUAUAUUUCUAACAAUUACAAUACCAUCUUUUAUUUUCUGAUUGUCUUCUGUUAUUCCUGUUGCAGUUGCGCUUGGAUGAUAUACCAAAACUUUUGGCCGAGUACAAACAGCUUCCUAUAUUAUAUAUCUGAUUGUCUCACUCAAGUUUUGUUUCCUUCAAUUUGUUCAAGUUUGGUAUAAAAAACACACAUAGAAAGACCAUAAAAGACCUACUUUGAAAUGAUUAUUAUCAUUUUCAUUUAUGUAACUUAAAAUUAGCAUAUUUAUUUAAUCUAUAAUAUCUAUAUUUUCAGCUAAUUUUAUCUAAUAUCAGCUUACUCAAAGAAAAAUAUCAUAAUUUUUUUUGUAGUUGUGCC